rnacentral:rRNA from 1 species
GAUGAACGCUGGCGGCGUGCCUAAUACAUGCAAGUCGAGCGAAUGGAUUAAGAGCUUGCUCUUAUGAAGUUAGCGGCGGACGGGUGAGUAACACGUGGGUAACCUGCCCAUAAGACUAGGAUAACUCCGGGAAACCGGGGCUAAUACCGGAUAAUAUUUUGAACUGCAUGGUUCAAAAUUGAAAGGCGUCUUCGGCUGUCACUUAUGGAUGGACUCGCGUCGCAUUAGCUAGUUGGUGAGGUAACGGCUCACCAAGGCAACGAUGCGUAGCCGACCUGAGAGGGUGAUCGGCCACACUGGGACUGAGACACGGCCCAGACUCCUACGGGAGGCAGCAGUAGGGAAUCUUCCGCAAUGGACGAAAGUCUGACGGAGCAACGCCGCGUGAGUGAUGAAGGCUUUCGGGUCGUAAAACUCUGUUGUUAGGGAAGAACAAGUGCUAGUUGAAUAAGCUGGCACCUUGACGGUACCUAACCAGAAAGCCACGGCUAACUACGUGCCAGCCGCCGCGGUAA